GAUUAUGGCUCAGGACGAACGCUGGCGGCGUGCCUAACACAUGCAAGUCGAGCGAGGAGAUCCUUCGGGAUGAUCCUAGCGGCGGACGGGUGAGUAACACGUGGGCAACCUGCCUCAUAGAGAGGAAUAGCCUUCCGAAAGGGAGAUUAAUACCUCAUAACAUUGCAGUUUCGCAUGGAACAGCAAUUAAAGGAGUAAUCCGCUAUGAGAUGGGCCCGCGGCGCAUUAGCUAGUUGGUGAGGUAACGGCUCACCAAGGCGACGAUGCGUAGCCGACCUGAGAGGAUGAUCGGCCACAUUGGGACUGAGACACGGCCCAGACUCCUACGGGAGGCAGCAGUGGGGAAUAUUGCACAAUGGGGGAAACCCUGAUGCAAGCAACGCCGCGUGAGUGAUGACGGCCUUCGGGUUGUAAAGCUCUGUCUUCAGGGACGAUAAUGACGGUACCUGAGGAGGAAGCCACGGCUAACUACGUGCCAGCAGCCGC
rnacentral:rRNA from 1 species